UCCCUUUAACACACAAAAAAAAAAAGAAGAGUGAAGAAACAAAGACAUAACCUAGAGCGCCUGACAGUGACGGAUGGAGUUGGGGGGUGGGACCCUCGUCCAUCGACUCCCUUCAUCCCCCUGAUGACGCCCGCAGCGGCCUGUACUCCUAUCAGGAGGAGAAGGGGAGCAAUGGCGGAGUUCAUCCACGGAGGAGACCUCUGGCGGGAUGAUUAUUAUUGUGAAUCAUCAUCAUAAGGAAGAUAAUCGGUGUAAUAGUCUAUGAGCCAGAACAUUAAGACCGCGACAGGUGAAGUGAUAACUUGGAUUAUCUGGUGACGAUGGCGCCCGGGAUAUAUUAGGCAACAAGUGAACAGUCAGUCCCUGAAGUGCGAAAAUAAGCAAUCGUUCUGCCUCAUCAGGUGGCUGGCAGCGGUCGAUGUAAUGCGGCACUUGUAACCUACACAGUACAACACUAUGACUGCGCAGAUGACACCGGCAUGUGGCGUGGAGGACACCUGUGGAGAAUCUGCAUGCCUCUCAGCUAUGGAAAAAUAAUAAAAAAGAAUAUGUAAAAUCCCCAAUAAUACUGUGAAUAAAUGCAGCU